AGAAGUGAGAAUGCCGGUGUGAGUAGCGAAAGACGGGUGAGAAUCCCGUCCACCGAUUGACUAAGGUUUCCAGAGGAAGGCUCGUCCGCUCUGGGUUAGUCGGGUCCUAAGCUGAGGCCGACAGGCGUAGGCGAUGGAUAACAGGUUGAUAUUCCUGUACCACCAUUAUUCGUUUUAAGCGAUGGGGGGACGCAGUAGGAUAGGCGAAGCGUGCUGUUGGAGUGCACGUCCAAGCAGUGAGAUUGAGUGUUAGGCAAAUCCGGCACUCUUAAGAUUGAGCUGUGAUGGGG
rnacentral:rRNA from 1 species